GGUUCGAUCCUGGCUCAGAUUGAACGCUGGUGGGAUGCUUUACACAUGCAAGUCGAACGGCAGCACGGACUUCGGUCUGCGGCGAGUGGCGAACGGGCGAGUAAUGUAUCGGAACGUGCCUAGUAGCGGGGAUAAUCACGCGAAAGCGUAGCUAAUACCGCAUACGCCCUUCGGGGGAAAGCGGGGACCUGGGCCUCUGCACUAUUAGAGCGGCCGAUAUCGAUUAGCUGGCUGGUGGGGUAACGGCUCACCAGCUUGCGACGAUCCGUGGCUGGUUUGAGAGGACGACCAGCCACACUGGGACCGAGACACGGCCCAGACUCCUACGGGAGGCAGCAGUGGGGAAUUUUGACAAUGGGGAAACCCUGAUCCAGCCAUCCCGCGUGUGUGAUGAAGGCCUCGGUUGUAAAGACCUCUUUGGCAGGAAAGAAACGGCACGGGAUAAUACCUCGUGCAACUGACGGUACCUGCAGAAUAAGCACCGGCUAACUACGUGCCAGCAGCCGCGGUAAUACGUAGGGUGCAAGCGUUAAUCGGAAUUACUGGGCGUAAAGCGUGCGCAGGCGGUUCGGAAAGAAAGAUGUGAAAUCCCAGAGCUUAACUUUGGAACUGCAUUUUUAACUACCGAGCUAGAGUGUGUCAGAGGGAGGUGGAAUUCGCGUGUAGCAGUGAAAUGCGUAGAUAUGCGGAGGAACACCGAUGGCGAAGGCAGCCUCCUGGGGAUAACACUGACGCUCAUGCACGAAAGCGUGGGGAGCAAAACAGGAUUAGAUACCCUGGUAGUCCACGCCCUAAACGAUGUCAGCCAACUAGCUGUUGGGGCUUCGGGCCUGGUAGCGCAGCUAACGCGUGAAGUUGACCGCCUGGGGAGUACGGUCGCAAGAUUAAACUCAAAGGGAAUGACGGGGACCCGCACAAGCGGUGGAUGAUGUGGAUUAAUUCGAUGCAACGCGAAAACCUUACCUACCCUUGACAUGUCUGGAAUCCCGAAGAGAUUUGGGAGUGCUCGCAAGAGAACCGGAACACAGGUGUUGGCAUGGCUGUCGUCAGCUCGUGUCGUGAGAUGUUGCUAAGUCCUGCAACGAGUGCAACCUCCUUGUCAUUAGUUGC
rnacentral:misc_RNA from 1 species